CUUAGUGGCGGACGGGUGAGUAACGCGUGGGCAACCUGCCCCGUGCCGGGGGAUACCGCCUGGAAACAGGCGCUAAUACCGCAUAAGCGCAUACAGCCGCAUGGCAGUAUGCGGAAAGCUCCGGCGGCACGGGAUGGGCCCGCGCCCGAUUAGCCAGUUGGCGGGGUAACGGCCCACCAAAGCGACGAUCGGUAGCCGGCCUGAGAGGGCGGACGGCCACAUUGGGACUGAGAUACGGCCCAGACUCCUACGGGAGGCAGCAG
rnacentral:rRNA from 1 species